rnacentral:rRNA from 1 species
AUGACUAUCACCAAGAUUCAGGGCCAAUCUCUAAUCAAAGUAGGACUAUAUCUACCUAAACAAGUUUUCACAUAUGGACAGUUAUACAUAGCCUUCUCAAGAGUAACAAAAAGGGAGGAACUGCGGGUAAUGGUAGAUGAUGAAGAUAGCAAUCAGGAUGAUGUGGUCAAGAACAUAUUCUAUACAGAAAUAUUCUAA